CCUACGGGUGGCAGCAGUGAGGAAUAUUGGUCAAUGGACGGAAGUCUGAACCAGCCAUGCCGCGUGCAGGAAGACGGCUCUAUGAGUUGUAAACUGCUUUUGUACAAGGGUAAACCUGAAUACGUGUAUUCAGCUGAAAGUACUGUACGAAUAAGGAUCGGCUAACUCCGUGCCAGCAGCCGCGGUAAUACGGAGGAUCCAAGCGUUAUCCGGAUUUAUUGGGUUUAAAGGGUGCGCAGGCGGGAGAUCAAGUCAGCGGUAAAAUGUCGGGGCUCAACCCCGGCCGGCCGUUGAAACUGGUUUUCUAGAGUUGGAGAGAAGUAUGCGGAAUUCGUGGUGUAGCGGUGAAAUGCAUAGAUAUCACGAAGAACUCCGAUUGCGAAGGCAGCAUACCGGCUCCAUACUGACGCUGAGGCACGAAAGCGUGGGGAUCGAACAGGAUUAGAUACCCCUGUAGUC
rnacentral:rRNA from 1 species